GCCGCCUUAGCUCAGUUGGUAGAGCGGCGCAUUCGUAAUGCGCAGGUCAUCAGUUCAAGUCUGAUAGGCGGCU
rnacentral:tRNA from 1 species